rnacentral:rRNA from 1 species
UACGGGGGGAGCAAGCGUUGUUCGGAUUUACUGGGCGUAAAGGGCGCGUAGGCGGUCGUGACAAGUCACUUGUGAAAUCUCCGGGCUUAACUCGGAACGGUCAAGUGAUACUGUCGGACUAGAGUACAGAAGGGGCAACUGGAAUUCUCGGUGUAGCGGUGAAAUGCGUAGAUAUCGAGAGGAACACCUGCGGCGAAGGCGGGUUGCUGGGCUGAUACUGACGCUGAGGCGCGAAAGUGUGGGAGGCGAACAGG